UUAUAAGUGAUGUUGACGUCUGGGUCUUGCGCAACAGAAAUUCGUGAACCGUGUCAGGUCAGGAAUGAAGCAGCACUAAGCGAACACUUCUGUGUGCCGCAAGGUUGCCUGAGCCGAGUUAACUGUAGAGGUAACGCUUAUGGUAUGCAUUCGAAGCAAAACGCACGG
rnacentral:SRP_RNA from 1 species